GAACGAAUGCCAAUGGCAUGAAACAUAUCCCCGCGACGGGAGGAGAAUCACUCGCGGCAUUGGGGCAAGCAGAGCAGAGAGCGAGAGCGUUGUCGUUCACUGAGUGAUUCAUGUCGUUAAUCCGCGGUGAACGAAUCGUUCGCUCAGUCCCUCCCCCCUCCCCCAUGAUGAGUAGCUGGCUGCGUCGUUCGCCGACGUCACAGAAUGCGCCAGUUCCACUCAUACCGGCAUGGUCGCGGCGGAGCUCAACUGAACUGAGAAAGGAACGAAUCAGUUCAUGAAGUGAUUCGGUUCAGUACGUUCACUCAAAAGAUUCGUUCGUUCGAACGAAUCGUUCGCGAACGACACAACAUUACCAGAAACGAAACUUUCCUCCGUCAGUAAAUGGAUGAAAGCUCGUUUCGUUAAGUUUCGUUUCCAGAAGCGCCUUCCCACAUCUAGUCCACUAUUUAAACUCCAUGCAGGCUGGUAGUGCAAAGACUAGGCGACACCAUGGGACUGAGUUGGAGUACUUCGUCAAAUGAUGUGAGAGCGAUGGGGUUCACCUCAAGUGGGAUAACUAAAGGAUCCAGGGCUGCAGGUAUGAUGUCAUCUGAAGCCACCCGCAGUGGAGGAGGGGUGCUAUCCGGGGGCCGUGUAUCUAACUAUCAGUCCAAAGGGGCGGGCGGACAUGGUGGAAAAUACUAAUAACCAAAUAACAAAACCAUGAAAUAAAUAAUAAUAUUGGUCUAUUAAACUGUGUUCUGAAUGCAUUUUCUGUGUGAUUAAAAUCGCCUUUUAACAUUUACUUGAAUAAAAAUUACAAAAUUUGCACACAAA